ACCGCAGGGUAAGGACGUGACU
rnacentral:snRNA from 1 species